AACGCUGGCGGCGCGUCUUAAACAUGCAAGUCGAACGAUCUGUAGCAAUACAGGGAGUGGCGGACGGGUGAGGAACACGUAGGAAUCUACCUAGAAGAGCGGGACAACUUUGGGAAACCGGGGCUAAUACCGCAUAGUACAGAGAUGUUAAAGGGCUAGCAAUAGUCGCUUCUAGAUGAGCCUGCGGUCUAUCAGCUUGUUGGUGAGGUAAUGGCUCACCAAGGCAGCGACGGAUAGCCGGUCUGAGAGGAUGAUCGGCCACACUGGCACUGAGACACGGGCCAGACUCCUACGGGAGGCAGCAGUUAAGAAUCUUGCGCAAUGGGGGAAACCCUGACGCAGCGACGCCGCGUGAAGGAUGAAGGCUUUCGGGUUGUAAACUUCGGUAGACUGGGAAGAAGAACUACGUUCGUUGAGGGCGUAGAGUGACGGUACCAGUCUGAAGCCCCGGCUAAUUACGUG
rnacentral:rRNA from 1 species